UUAGUGAGGAUUUUGGGUUUUUUGUGGGGAGUUUGGGAAAUUUUGGGAUUUUUUGAGGGAGAUUUGGGUUUUUUGGGGAUUUUUUAGGGUUUUUUUGAGGUGGUUUGAGGGGUUUUUGAGAAUUUGGGAUUUUUAGGGGGUUGGGUUUUUUUGGGGGGAUUUUGGGGUUUUUUGGGGGGAUUUUUGGGGUUUUUUUGGGGGAUUUUGACUUUUUUUGGGAUGGUUUCAGGUUUUGAGGGGAAUUUGGGUUUUUUUUUUGUAUUUUGGGGUUUUUAGGGUGAUUUUUUGGGUUUCUUUGUGGUGGUUUUGGGAUUUUCUGGGUUUUUUUGGGGGCAAGUUUUGAUUUUUUUUGGUGUUUCUGGGAUUUUGGCAGAAAUUUGAAUCUCUGGAUUAAAUUUGGGGCAAUUACGGCUUUUUGGGCUUUUUUUUUUUUCCUAAGAGGGGGGGAAGGUGAAGCCCCAAUCCAAAAUUUCCCCAAAUUUUUUGGGGGGAAGCCACCCAAAAAAAACCCAAACUCGAGUCGGGGUCUCUGCAUCUCCAUCACCUUUUAUUGCCCAAAAUCCCCCAAAAAUCCCCGGAACCCCCCAAAAUCGGGGGGUGGGGGAGGGGCCGACCCCUCCCCUCACCCCAAAAUUUUUUUUUAGGGAAUUUUGGGCUCUCGGGGGGGUUCGGGGUCGCCCCAAUUGUCUGGGAGGGUCCCCAAAUUAUUUGGGGGGUCCGGUGAUGUCGUGGGGGUCCCCAAAUUCCCGGGGGUCCCCAAAAUUCCAGGGUCAGGUGAAGUUCCCAAAUUUUCAGGGGUUCCCAAAUUUCCCGGGGUCCCUAAAUUCCCGGGGCUCCCCAAAUUCCCAGGGGUCCCCAAAUUUCCAGGGGUUCCCAAACUCCCGGGGGUCCCCAAAUUUCCGGAGGCGUUCGGGCCCCCCCAGCCCCCCCCAAACUCGGGGUCGCCCUCAUCGAUUUCGGGGUCCCCCGCCCCGAAUUCGGGGUCGCCCCCCCCGGGGGCGCUGUCGGGGUCCCCCUGGAGCUCCUCCAGCUCCUCCUGCCGGGGGUCCGGGGGGGUCUCGGCGAACAAAACCUCGGGGGCGACCCCCGAAAUCCAGCGCUGGUGGGGGGGCAGGGCGG
rnacentral:lncRNA from 1 species